CCCGUACCCCAAACCGACUCAGGUGAUCAGGUAGAGAAUACUAAGGCGAUCGAGAUAACCAUGGUUAAGGAACUCGGCAAAAUGCCCCCGUAACUUCGGGAGAAGGGGGGCCCGGAGCGUGAACCCACUUGCUGGGGGAUGCGUGAAGGGCCGCAGAGACCAGGCCCAAGCGACUGUUUACUAAAAACACGGUCCGUGCGAAGUUGUAAGACGAUGUAUACGGACUGACUCCUGCCCGGUGCUGGAAGGUUAAGAGGACCGGUUAGAUCACGUAAGUGGUCGAAGCUGAGAAUUUAAGCCCCAGUAAACGGCGGUGGUAACUAUAACCAUCCUAAGGUAGCGAAAUUCCUUGUCGGGUAAGUCCGACCCGCACGAAAGGCGAACGAUCUGGAUGGUGUCUCAGAGAGAGACUCGGCGAAAUAGGAAUGUCUGUGAAGAUACGGACUGCCUGCACCUGGACAGAAAGACCCUAAUGAAGC
rnacentral:rRNA from 1 species